UCAAAUUGCAUUGAUGUUUACAAUGCAUUGAUGUUUACAUUUAAAUACCAAAGUAACUUAACUAAGUAUUGAAAAUAGUUUUUGAACGUUUAUAAUUAUGCCGUUUUAAAUAUUUAAUCGGCUGUAAUCUUUCAGUCGAUUAUUGUAUUAACAAUAUGAACGGAUAUAAACACUCACGAACGGAUGACAGUAUACAUGGGUCAGGGCACCACCCUUCAUGCAUCUCAGCAGACUGACGACCUUAGUCAUGUGAUGUUCAUCUUUCAGCUCUUUCAGAGCGGCUUGAUAUGCACGGCCCUCAUGGCCGGCGCCAUCUGUGUCGGUCAUCUAGUGUUAAUGCGGAAGUACUGCCGAAAUACCACGACGCUGGUCGCAGUGGUGCUCUCUGGAUUUUUCCAUCUGAUCGCAAGCGUGCGCAUGUUGACAAUUGCUGAAAAUUACAUGAAAAGACGCGUACAACAGGGACCUCCGAGCGUCGGCUCGUGCUUGGAUUACUCGAUGACGGCGGCGUUUGCCAACGGGGUUGUGCUCGUGUUAAUCGUGCAUAAUGUUUUGUUCAGAACUUUAAAUGGUCGAUGUCUUCGUGUCUAGCAUACGCAGGCACACUUGGUUGCAUCAUCACAGGAAGUUUUUCCGUAAUCAAGAUUGUGCCGCAAAAUAGCCCACUUCCAGUUACACAACAUUCGCUUGAGACGCUUGGGACAUAUGGAAGUCAGCACUUUACCGUAUUCUUGUUCGUGUGUCAGAAAAACGUUUACGAGGAAAGAUGGGCUAUUCUGGUGGAAUAUUUAGUGAUAUACCUACCCGUCAUGUUCACCGUGCUGGUUGCUCUUUGCAGGAACAGGACAAAACAAACGGAUGUCACCAUCAUAGAGCUAAAGAUUAUUUCAAACAAAGAGUGCAACGUUUCAGUGUUUAACUGCAAUUGUGUUAAAUUGAACUCAGCCAUGGUUGCCGUUCUUUUAUACAUUACUAUUGUCUUACUCAUAGUACGGCCAGGAUACAUUCUGUAUGCGCACGCAACUUCGGGUUACUUCUUGGACAUAUUGCCAAGUUUGUUACAGACAGUAAUUUUCACUUUUAUUUGCUCUGAAUAUAUUGGAAAGGUUCUUAUUCGAUCACAAUAUUGCAAUAAUGAGGUGAAAUCAAACGGCUAUUGUAACUAUAAACAUAAGGGCAAGCCUCUUAUGCAGGUAUGAUAAGCUGUAAAUUUCUGUAGACAGGUUCUUUAGAGAUGUGUUGUUUAAAUGUAAAGACGCACUUGCUUUGAAUGGGAAAUCCAUUAUUAUGUUUCCACAAAACUGUGAUACUACGCUGAAAUAUGUUUGUAGCGCUUUUGUAACUGGGUAAAAAAAAGCACAUAAUGGAAUCAUAUUGACGGAAUUAAAGUCGAAAUAUUCUCAAAUACUUACACUUGGUGUCAUCUUCGUUCAUUUUAAAAAAUGUUAC